CCUACGGGAGGCAGCAGUGAGGAAUAUUGCGCAAUGGGGGAAACCCUGACGCAGCGACGCCGCGUGAGUGAGGAAGGUCUUCGGAUCGUAAAGCUCUGUCAGAAGGGAAGAAGUGUUAUAUGGUUAACACCCGUAUAAUUUGACGGUACCUUCAGAGGAAGCACCGGCUAACUCCGUGCCAGCAGCCGCGGUAAUACGGAGGGUGCGAGCGUUGUUCGGAAUUACUGGGCGUAAAGGGCGCGUAGGCGGCCUGAUUAGUCAGAUGUGAAAGUCCACGGCUCAACCGUGGAAGUGCAUUUGAAACUGUCAGGCUUGAGUAUCGGAGGGGAAAGUGGAAUUCCCGGUGUAGAGGUGAAAUUCGUAGAGAUCGGGAGGAACACCGGUGGCGAAGGCGACUUUCUGGACGAAUACUGACGCUGAGGCGCGAAAGCGUGGGGAGCAAACAGGAUUAGAUACCCUGGUAGUCCACGCCGUAAACGAUGUGAACUAGGGAUAGGGGGUGUUGAUCCCUUCUGUCCCGCAGCUAACGCAUUAAGUUCACCGCCUGGGGAGUACGGUCGCAAGAUUAAAACUCAAAUGAAUUGACGG
rnacentral:rRNA from 1 species